rnacentral:lncRNA from 1 species
ACAAUGUAAUUAUACUAAAUCAGUAGAACGUCACAUAAAACAACAUUAAUUUUACAUAACAACAAAUUUAACGAUCACAACGAAUAUGUAAUUUAAAGUAACAAUACAUUACGAUACAAAAGAGUGACUAAUUAAACACUUCUAUCAAAUAUUAUUAUGAGUUAUUGUUGUGAAAUAGGAUGAAAACACGAUUCUCUAAUUUCCUCCUUUAUAUACAUGAGUUAAUCCCACUAAUCUGUACAGCUGUCAACCACUAAAAAAUAACCAACUCAUUAAAGGACCCAAUUAGUUAUAACUAACUUUAACUACACUGUUAGGCAACUAAUAACUAACAAAU